AGGUAGCAUAAUCAUUUGUUAUCUAAAUGAUAACUAGUAUGAAGGGUCUGACGAGAAAAUAACUUUCUAAAAAGAAAAGAUAAAAAUUUAUUUUAAAGUAAAAAAGCUUUAUAACUUUAGAAAGACGAGAAGACCCUAGAACCUGUUCUAUCUAUAUAGUUUGUUGGGGUGACAUUAUUCAAAACAAAUAACUAUUAAAACUUAUUUAAUGACUAUAUCUAUCUUUAUUAAAAAAAAAAAAGGUACUCUAGGGAUAACAGCAUAAUCUUCUUCUAGAGCCCUAAUCGACAAGAAAGAUUUUGACCUCGAUGUUGAAUUGAUAUUUCUUUCUAAAGCAGAA
rnacentral:rRNA from 1 species